rnacentral:rRNA from 1 species
UGAGGAAUAUUGGUCAAUGGGCGCAAGCCUGAACCAGCCAAGUAGCGUGCAGGAAGACGGCCCUAUGGGUUGUAAACUGCUUUUAUACGAGAAUAAUUUGAUGCACGUGUGCGUUAUUGCAUGUAUCGUAUGAAUAAGGACCGGCUAAUUCCGUGCCAGCAGCCGCGGUAAUACGGAAGGUCCAGGCGUUAUCCGGAUUUAUUGGGUCUAAAGGGAGUGUAGGCGGUUUGUUAAGCGUGUUGUGAAAUUUAGAUGCUCAACAUUUAACUUGCAGCGCGAACUGUCAGACUUGAGUACACGCAACGUAUGCGGAAUUCAUGGUGUAGCGGUGAAAUGCUUAGAUAUCAUGAAGAACUCCGAUUGCGAAGGCAGCAUACGGGAGUGUAACUGACGCUUAAGCUCGAAGGUGCGGGUAUCGAACAGGAUUAGAUACCCUGGUAGUCCGCACAGUAAACGAUGGAUGCCCGCUGUUAGCGCCUGGCGUUAGCGGCUAAGCGAAAGCAUUAAGCAUCCCACCUGGGGAGUACGCCGGCNACGGU